GGCUUUUUGAGUAUAAUUUAAGGUCGGGCCUGCCCAAUGAUUAAUUAAAUGGCCGCGGUAUAUUGACCGUGCAAAGGUAGCAUAAUCAUUAGUUUUUUAAUUGAAAGCUUGUAUGAAGGGUUUAAUGAAAAAAAUACUGUCUCUAUUUAAGUUUAUUAGAAUUUUAUAUUUAAGUAAAAAAGCUUAAAUUUAUAUUGAAGACGAGAAGACCCUAUAGAGUUUAAUAUUUUAUGUAUUAAAUUAAUUAUUAAGAAUUUUAAGAAUUUAUUGCAUGAAAUAUUUAAUUGGGGUGAUUGAAAAAUUAAUUAAACUUUUUUUGUAUUUUUACAUUGAUUAAUGAAUUUAUGAUCCUUUAGUUAAGAUUAAAAGAUAUAAUUACCUUAGGGAUAACAGCGUAAUUUUUUUUAGAGUUCUUAUCGAAGGAAAAGAUUGCGACCUCGAUGUUGGAUUAAAAUAAAUUAUUGGUGUAGAAGCUAAUAAAUUAGGUCUGUUCGACCUUUAAAUUUUUACAUGAUCUGAGUUUAAACCGGUGUAAG
rnacentral:rRNA from 1 species